CCUGGGCUGAUGAGAUUUCAACUGAGAUUGCAUUUGAGUUUGUUGGAGCCAGAUGACAUGACUUCUUACUUGG
rnacentral:snoRNA from 10 species